UUUUACCAGUAAAUUGGCAGCAGUUAAGAGGUGCUCCCUUUACAAAAAUGGCACUUCAUUUGGUUUGAACACUCAUAGCUUGCAUAUGGAUACAAUUUCUACAUACGUAACUAUAUGGUGUACAUGCUAUGAAAAUUGCGACUUGCAUCUUUCCCGCCGCACAACACAUGCACACUCGAGGCGCCUCGGCAAAAUGCUUGUACCAGUCACAAUAUGUUUUAUAUAUAUAUAUUGUAUAUUUUAACGAAAAAAUUUGAGAAGACUGCUGAAAUAUAUA